UACGGGGGGGGUAAGCGUUGUUCGGAAUUACUGGGCGUAAAGGGCUCGUAGGCGGCCAACUAAGUCAGACGUGAAAUCCCUCAGCUUAACUGGGGAACUGCGUCUGAUACUGGCGAGCUUGAGUGCAGGAGAGGAACGCGGAAUUCCAGGUGUAGCGGUGAAAUGCGUAGAUAUCUGGAGGAACACCGGUGGCGAAGGCGGCGUUCUGGACUGCAACUGACACUGAUGAACGAAAGCCAGGGGAGCAAACGGG
rnacentral:rRNA from 1 species